rfam:Schistosoma mansoni strain Puerto Rico chromosome 5, complete genome
AUCCAGCUGACGAGUCCCAAAUAGGAAGAAGCGCGCGUCCUGGAU